CAUGCAGGCGGUUAGACAAGUCAGGUGUGAAAUCCCCGCGCUUAACGUGGGCAUUGCAUUUGAAACUAUGUAGCUAGAGUUCUGUAGAGGGGGGUAGAAUUCCAGGUGUAGCGGUGAAAUGCUUAGAUAUUACAUGGAAUACCAAUUGCGAAGGCAGGUUACUACUAAGUGAUUGACGCUGAUGGACGAAAGCGUGGGGAGCGAACAGGAUUAGAUACCCCCGUA
rnacentral:rRNA from 1 species